GGGGGUGUAAAGGUUUCGACGGGGUUUUUGAAGCGAGAAAUGCGGGUAGAGUGGCAGGAACUCUUCAAAACUGCAACCUUAAACACAAACGCUAACAACGAAGUAGCACUCGCUGCCUAAAAUGGCAGCCGUCC
rnacentral:tmRNA from 1 species